GUGUCAGCAGCCGCGGUAAUACGGAGGGAGCUAGCGUUGUUCGGAAUUACUGGGCGUAAAGCGCACGUAGGCGGCUUUCUAAGUCAGGGGUGAAAUCCCGGGGCUCAACCUCGGAACUGCCCUUGAAACUGGAGAGCUAGAAUCUUGGAGAGGCGAGUGGAAUUCCGAGUGUAGAGGUGAAAUUCGUAGAUAUUCGGAAGAACACCAGUGGCGAAGGCGACUCGCUGGACAAGUAUUGACGCUGAGGUGCGAAAGCGUGGGGAGCAAACAGGAUUAGAAACCCUAGUAGUCC
rnacentral:rRNA from 1 species